UACGUAGGGGGCAAGCGUUGUCCGGAAUUAUUGGGCGUAAAGAGCGUGUAGGCGGUCCGGUAAGUCCGCUGUGAAAGUCCAGGGCUCAACCCUGGAAUGCCGGUGGAUACUGCCGGGCUAGAGUCCGGAAGAGGCGAGUGGAAUUCCUGGUGUAGCGGUGAAAUGCGCAGAUAUCAGGAGGAACACCGAUGGCGAAGGCAGCUCGCUGGGACGGUACUGACGCUGAGACGCGAAAGCGUGGGGAGCAAACAGG
rnacentral:rRNA from 1 species